CAGCACGCUGCUGGCAUCGCUGUGAAGGAACAAGGGCCCGGUUCCCGCCGCGCGGAGCGGGAGCGCUUCCUGACACGUGUCGGGGAAGUGGUCGGAGAAAGAGGGAAGCCAGAGAGGGUUCAACUGAGGCGCUCAGCCUGCCCCGUCCAGAGGCGGGCUUUGUGAGACCCGAGGGGAAGGAGCCAGAACCGCGGAAACCCAUUCCUGUGAAUUCAUGGCCCGAUGGGUGUAAAGAAACAAAAGACUUGCGAGGGGUGGCCGAAGUGACCUGUUUGCGGAGGUCCAGUUCCUGAGGAAAUCAACAGCGGGUCUCCCGGGCUUCCAAGCGUGAGUCAGCGAUCAUCGCCAGGAGCUGGCCUUCCCGGACAGACGAGGGGACAGAGCACCGUGAGAACCAGGGGCCCGGUGUGUGCCCCAGGAGGAUUCUUGGUCUCAGAGAUGGAAAUGUCACUUGGGAGCUUUGUGGAAUUUAUUUGGAAGCUCUAGCAAAGGAUCAUG